CCCAUCAGAGGUUGUCCUUCUUUCGCCUCACCUCCAACCCGGACGCAGCAACCCGGCCGGGCCCAACGCCGCAAAUCUCAGGUCUCUGCAGCGGAGGUGCACCUCGACUCUCCCCACAAUUCCCUUCGCAACACCACUUCCGGCUUACCUCACAAAUUCCACAUUCCAGCCGGAAACACCUGGAUAGGCCCUCUGCGCAUGCGUGAGACCGGGGAGGCGUCCGGGAGUUCAGAGAGCCGGCGGUGCAGGCUCCACUUUUCCACUUACCUACUCAAUGCCGGCAGUCUCGCGGGAUUUCCUCCUCUCGCGGGAGUUAUUUGAAUGCCUGAGCGGUAACCACUCCCUAGGGGCCUGGGGCCCUCUGACAAGAAGCCUGAGGAGGCGCCGUGGAGAGCUCUGCCUCUGGGUUGGUGGGCGGGUCGGCUGUAGCUGAACGCGGACAGGAUUUGUCCGGACAGAGUCCCAGAGCCAUGGGAGCGAAAAGAGACUGCUGCGGAUUAAGGAGGCCUUUCGGCUGGCGCAGCAGCCGCACCACAACCAGGCGAAGCUGGUGGUGUCGCUGAAUCGCUCCUGCCGCAGGGGUAACUGUCAGAUUCUGGAAAGAAUUAAAGAAUUGCUGGAUCCAAGAGGAAAUGUGUUUGCAAAUAUGAUAGAUAUUUACAAUUGCCCUUCAUGGAGUGAUCCGUUCUACACGCCUAUCAGCAGAGAAGAGAAUGAGAGUACUGAGGUAAACAGCAAUGAAGUUUUUGAUGUGCCAAAUUCUGAAUGAGGUCUCACUCUGUUGCCCAGGGUGCAGUACAGUAGUGCAAUCUUGGCUCACUGC